GGGACUGGAGCUCAGAGGUAGAGCACUUACUUUACAUGUGCGAAGCCCUGGGUUCAAUCCCCAGCACCCCCU
rnacentral:tRNA from 1 species